AAGUUACCGAUUCCAUACAGUCCUGGGCAAGAGUGGAUGCGACUACAGAACACUGAAAACAAGUCUCCAAGGCAUGAUAUUGAGGAUGGCCCUCAUGACAAUUCUUCAGAACUCUAGGAAUCCAGAAAACCCAACUUGAAAAUCAGUAAUUGCUCUCAACACUGUGAUUUUCCAGACACAGAGACAAAGACCUACACAAAAGCAGCUAGCCACAAGCCAGCUAGUGCUAUGGGAAGAGAGAAGGCCACCACAUUUUACAACAUACCACCCAAACCAAAUCUGACACAUGUGGUUUUGAACCACUUUGAGUCUGAAUUUCCAGCAAAAUUAAGAAGGCAAUAGAAGAAGUGAUCAGAAGAUGUAAUUAUGGAAGCAACAUAAAAUGGAAGAUGCAUCAUGGGAAAUACAAAGAACUGAUAUGGUUUGGAGCAACCACAAUUGAAUGCUGCAGGUGUCUCUGGCAUAAGAUGGCAUCUUCUUACCCCCUGAAAAUAUGUGUGCAGUAAUGCCAACAUAAAAACCUGAGAGAAGGUGAGAUUCUGUGACAGGAAUUCAA